CGCCUCUUGAAAAACCCAUAAGAGGUCCAGCCUGCCCAGGGACUUUGUUCAACGGCCGCGGUAUCCUAACCGUGCGAAGGUAGCGUAAUCACUUGUUCUUUAAAUGAGGACUAGUAUGAAUGGCACCACGAAGGUUAUACUGUCUCCUUCCUCUAAUCAGUGAAACUAAUCUCCCCGUGAAGAAGCGGGGAUAAACCUAUAAGACGAGAAGACCCUAUGGAGCUUUAAACACAGUAAUAAAUGCCCCCCCCCCCUUUUUUCUAUCCAAAUCUCCGGAAAACUACUUUAUCUGAGCAUCCUAAUUACAAGUUUUAGGUUGGGGUGACCGCGGAGUAAAAAAUAACCUCCACAGUGAAUGGGAUCUCUCCCUAAACUCAGGGCCACAGCCCUAAAAAUCAAUAAAUUGACACCCAUUGACCCAAUAUUUUUGAUCAAUGAACCAAGUUACCCUAGGGAUAACAGCGCAAUCCACUUCAAGAGCUCCUAUCGACAAGUGGGUUUACGACCUCGAUGUUGGAUCAGGGUACCCCAGUGGUGCAGCCGCUGCUAAAGGUUCGUUUGUUCAACGAUAAAACCCUA
rnacentral:rRNA from 1 species